rnacentral:rRNA from 1 species
GACGAACGCUGGCGGCGUGCCUAAUACAUGCAAGUCGAACGAACUCUGGUAUUGAUUGGUGCUUGCAUCAUGAUUUACAUUUGAGUGAGUGGCGAACUGGUGAGUAACACGUGGGAAACCUGCCCAGAAGCGGGGGAUAACACCUGGAAACAGAUGCUAAUACCGCAUAACAACUUGGACCGCAUGGUCCGAGCUUGAAAGAUGGCUUCGGCUAUCACUUUUGGAUGGUCCCGCGGCGUAUUAGCUAGAUGGUGGGGUAACGGCUCACCAUGGCAAUGAUACGUAGCCGACCUGAGAGGGUAAUCGGCCACAUUGGGACUGAGACACGGCCCAAACUCCUACGGGAGGCAGCAGUAGGGAAUCUUCCACAAUGGACGAAAGUCUGAUGGAGCGACGCCGCGUGAGUGAAGAAGGGUUUCGGCUCGUAAAACUCUGUUGUUAAAGAAGAACAUAUCUGAGAGUAACUGUUCAGGUAUUGACGGUAUUUAACCAGAAAGCCACGGCUAACUACGUGCCAGCAGCCGCGGUAAUACGUAGGUGGCAAGCGUUGUCCGGAUUUAUUGGGCGUAAAGCGAGCGCAGGCGGUUUUUUAAGUCUGAUGUGAAAGCCUUCGGCUCAACCGAAGAAGUGCAUCGGAAACUGGGAAACUUGAGUGCAGAAGAGGACAGUGGAACUCCAUGUGUAGCGGUGAAAUGCGUAGAUAUAUGGAAGAACACCAGUGGCGAAGGCGGCUGUCUGGUCUGUAACUGACGCUGAGGCUCGAAAGUAUGGGUAGCAAACAGGAUUAGAUACCCUGGUAGUCCAUACCGUAAACGAUGAAUGCUAAGUGUUGGAGGGUUUCCGCCCUUCAGUGCUGCAGCUAACGCAUUAAGCAUUCCGCCUGGGGAGUACGGCCGCAAGGCUGAAACUCAAAGGAAUUGACGGGGGCCCGCACAAGCGGUGGAGCAUGUGGUUUAAUUCGAAGCUACGCGAAGAACCUUACCAGGUCUUGACAUACUAUGCAAAUCUAAGAGAUUAGACGUUCCCUUCGGGGACAUGGAUACAGGUGGUGCAUGGUUGUCGUCAGCUCGUGUCGUGAGAUGUUGGGUUAAGUCCCGCAACGAGCGCAACCCUUAUUAUCAGUUGCCAGCAUUAAGUUGGGCACUCUGGUGAGACUGCCGGUGACAAACCGGAGGAAGGCGGGGAUGACGUCAAAUCAUCAUGCCCCUUAUGACCUGGGCUACACACGUGCUACAAUGGAUGGUACAACGAGUUGCGAACUCGCGAGAGUAAGCUAAUCUCUUAAAGCCAUUCUCAGUUCGGAUUGUAGGCUGCAACUCGCCUACAUGAAGUCGGAAUCGCUAGUAAUCGCGGAUCAGCAUGCCGCGGUGAAUACGUUCCCGGGCCUUGUACACACCGCCCGUCACACCAUGAGAGUUUGUAACACCCAAAGUCGGUGGGGUAACCUUUUAGGAACCAGCCGCCUAAGGUGGGACAGAUGAUUAGGGUG